rnacentral:misc_RNA from 1 species
CGGGCUUGAAUCGAAAUGGGUUUGUGUGGCUGUUGAGUUUGCCGGUGGCAUGAAAGGAAAUGAUGUUUGACUUCGAACGAGAUUCAGUAGAACUAAUGAUGUCACCUAAAGCUCUAUAAUGGACAAAGGAUGAAAUGGGUAAAAAAAAAAAGCGGCUGAGAUUGUAAAAAGCAUCUAAAAUAACAAGAUGAUCUCUGCAUUUUUCUUUUUUGAAAGAAA